UUUUGUAUGUGCUGUAGUAGUUUGAGUGUUGGACUAUGACUCUGGAGAUCAGGGUUCGAUUCCCUGUUCGAGCA